GAUAGAAUUGUAACGUGUAUUGGGAUUAGUCCCUUUGCAACCCUUCGUCCAUUUCGGGAUUUUACUAGACACGUGUCAUAUUUUUGGUUAACAUAUAAACUGAGAAACAGAGAGUAAGGAAAAUUCGAUCUUCUUCCCCUUUCAUCCCUUUCCUGUAUUUUCUUUCUCUGAUGAUUUCUCAUUCCAUGAAAAACAAUUGAGGGGAUCACUUUCUUUCUCUCUUCUUUCAUUUUCGUCGGCAAUCUCAAAUUCAGGGAAUUUGACUGAAAUUAUGCCGGAGUGAAUUAUGUAGAGAUUUGAACACUUGAAGUUGUUGUUAAAGUCGGUAAUGGUUGGUUUUAAAAACGCAGUAGGAUGAUUCGCUCAUUGGUUUUCAGUUUGGUGAUAUCUGAAGUGAUGCAUAUCGAUUGGGUUGUGCUAUCGCACCUGAUUUGUGUUGGAACUCAGUAUCUCGAUACAGUUUCUCCCUUGAAUCCAAGAAUUUGUGAAUGCAUGCUACAGAUUGGAUAAUGUACUCCAUCCCAGUAGUAGUAGGAGAUAUGGCUGUGUGUUAGAUUUGAUCUUCAGGUAAGGAAGAGCUAUAAAAGAACCUGAAUACAACAAGGCAAAACAUACCUCUAAGCAUCAACAAAAUACUGCACACCAAGUUUUUGAGAAAAGUUCCGAAGGAAAUGUGAACUUGAGUCUUGAACUAUUGACUGAGCUGUUGUAAUUUUAGUGGAAGCACAAUGCAAGGAUAUUGCAUCUGCUUCAAAUUACUUGCAGCGGGUAUCGGUAACGGGUAGGAUGUGUCUAGAUUAUUCUUACACUUUUAAUUAGAUUCGUGAAUAUGUUAUUAGAUUUCUUGUUUGCUGGCACUAGUUGUUAUGCUAGUCUUACUCAUGUAUGGCGUCACCCUUUUUCGUUGUUUUUAGUACUAGUGUACGGAUUUGGAAAUGCUACUCAAACUAAUGAUGUUGUAGUAGGUGUUUGUCAUAUCGCCUCUUUCAUUUUAAUCUAUGUAUUUGUUAUAUGCUUAUGGAAGAUUUAGUGAUAUUACUAUAUAUACA